UCCAUUCUCACCCAAAAACCCUAGACAACUUCUCCUCUCCCGUUCAUCCAUCUGCCACAACCUAACUUCUCCUCUCAAAUCUCUAAUGUCGACGAUGGUUUAAGCACCAUAUUCGCUGUUGCGCAUCAUCCUAACCCACCAUUUCCGCCGCUGUGCAUCGUCCAAUCCCACCAUGGCCGCCGCUACACAUUCUCCAAACCCUAUAUCUGAUACCAAGAUCAAUCGAAUGGAUGAAACGAGGGAGUGCGUGGAAGACGAUUAGUCCUAUUUUGUAAUCUACCAAAUUCUUCGUCAAUCGCUCGAUUCCUCUAAUUACAGGUGGAUCCUAAUACAAAGAGGUUAAAUUUACAAGUUGUAAGUGUUGAAGUUGACAAUAUAGGAGCAGUGAGGUUCGUUUAAUAUACCAUUAUUUUGUCAAUAUUUGGAAUGUCAAUAACCCAUGCACAAAUACGAGCCAAAGUUGAUAAAAAUGACGGGGAGACUAAAGUUGUGAGAUUGUAUGCUUUCAUAUGGGAAGGGGAUGCGGCAGCUAAGUGACAAACGAGCUAAGACUCUCCAUUCAUUUAUAUUGUUGAAGCAUUUUAAUUAAAAAAAGUUACAACGGGUCAUUUCCUAAUUCAAAAAUACAAAAAUGGAAAAAUGGAAAACUAUUUCUCAACGUGUUUAAGAUCAAAACAUGUCAGUGCUUUUAUAUGUAUCCGGAUUAUAUUUGUAGAUUCACUUUGUCACUGGACUUAUGUAAUAUAUUUAACUUUUUGUUAUACACUUUUACCUUUAGUUUAAAU
rnacentral:lncRNA from 1 species